rnacentral:lncRNA from 1 species
CGUAUAGAACGGAAGGAUAAUACAAGAAUAUACGCUACUCUUCCUCUCCUACCACAGUUUUUCAAGGGUUCACAUCCGAAAGAUAUGUAUAUAUACCAGACGCGGAGACUGACAGUGACAUACUACAAGAUAAAAAUAGGACUCUGGAUGCAAGACCCAGUUAAUUUGUACUCUACCACCAAAGUUCAGACUCCAUUCAUCCAGUUCUGCGCACUUGGCUAUUUAAUCAAUUCCCAUUCCCAAUCGCACUAGACUAUUUUGCACCUCACGAAAUCAAAAUGUUGUGCUCCUGAAUUAAUCUUGUUUGAACAUUUGGUUUGGUUUCGAUGAAAUGGAUCCUGGGGUUUUCCUUUUUCUUUAUUUUUUUACAAAUCGAUCCUUGAUGAUCUAGGAGAAAUAAUUCGUGAUCAGCACAGCUACAAAGAUAAGUUAGCAGCUGACAUACAUAUUAUUUUCCUCCCGAAGAGCAACUUGAAUGGUAGACAAAGAUCAGCACAGCCAAUCGUUCUCUGAAUCCUG